GUCCCAGCCGGCCACCAGGAUCCCCGCCAUCAGCUCCUCCCUGUAGCGGUAGCAGCUAGCUCUGAACAGGUUGGCCGCCGUCUCCACCAGGGGGGGCUCCUCCAGCUCGAUGCUGGGGGGGAGGGAGAGAGUCAGAACCAGGAACCACCAGAACCCAAAAACCCCCCAUUAGAACCACCACCCAGAACCCAGAGACCCCCAUCAGCUCCUCCCUGUAGCGGUAGCAGCUAGCCCUGAACAGGUUGGCCGCCGUCUCCACCAGGGGGGGCUCCUCCAGCUCGAUGCUGGGGGGGGAGGGAGAGAGUCAGAACCAGGUACCACCAGAACCCAGAGACCCCCCAUUAGAACCACCACCCAGAACCCACAGCCCUCUCAUCAGAACCAGGUACCACCAGAGCCCAGAACCCUGAGAAACCUGCUUCCUGACAGGAGGUUCACCUGCGGGUCCGACUCGGACAUCAGAACC